UUGGAGGGCAAGUCUGGUGCCAGCAGCCGCGGUAAUUCCAGCUCCAAUAGCGUAUAUUAAAGUUGUUGCAGUUAAAAAGCUCGUAGUUGAAUUUCGGGAUUAGCAGGUCGGUCGUGCCANUGGUACGUACUGGUCUUGCUGAUUCCUCCCUCUUGACGAGCCGUAAUGCCAUUAAUUUGGUGUUGCGGGGAAUCAGGACUGUUACUUUGAAAAAAUUAGAGUGUUUAAAGCAGGCAUGCGCUUGAAUACAUUAGCAUGGAAUAAUGAAAUGGGACGUUCGAUCUUAUUUUGUUGGUUUCUAGGAUUGACGUAACGAUUAAUAGGGAUAGUUGGGGGCAUUAGUAUUCAAUUGUCAGAGGUGAAAUUCUUGGAUUUAUUGAAGACUAACUACUGCGAAAGCAUUUGCCAAGGAUGUCUUCAUUAAUCAAGAACGAAAGUUAGGGGAUCGAAGACGAUCAGAUACCGUCGUAGUCUUAACCAUAAACUAUGCCGACUAGGGAUCGGAUGNUGUUANUUUUUUAAUGACUCAUUCGGCGCCUUACGGGAAAC
rnacentral:rRNA from 1 species